CCUUCAAAGCGUGUGUUUAUUUAACCUGAUAUGCAUUCCAUUGCUUGUGGUUGCGUGCGUAGCAAUAUUCAUCCUUGGUGUAUAUUUCAAGAUGUCUUUAUAAGAGAGAUCGAUGCUCAUUCCAAACAAAAAAGAACUUUAUACUUAGUAUUCCAAUUACUAUGUUAUCUUUACCUUGAAGAUGAAAUGUGGAACACUUUAAAUAAAUAGAACUGCUGCGAUACAACUCGUUCAUCUGAGAAAUGCGAAAGUUGCUUCCUAGUUAGAUGCAUGUGUAUUUGUGUCACGAUAGGCAUUCCACUGACUCUGUUUUUGAUCGUGUUCAUUUACAUUAUCUAUUUGCUUCACGAUUGGAAAUGAGGAGUACUAUAUAAGAGGAAAAAUAUCUUAUUACAAUGAAUAACUU